UACGUGAGGGGCAAGCGUUUGUCCGGAAUUAUUGGGCGUAAAGAGCGCGUAGGCGGUCCGAUAAGUCGGCUGUGAAAGUCAGGGGCUCAACCCUUGGAAGCCGGCCGAUACUGUCGGACUAGAGUCCGGAAGAGGCGGAGUGGAAUUCCCGGUCGUAGCGGUGAAAUGCGCAGAUAUCGGGAGGAACACCAAUGGCGAAGGCAGCUCGCUGGGACGGUACUGACGCUGAGGCGCGAAAGCGUGGGGAGCAAACAGG
rnacentral:rRNA from 1 species